rnacentral:rRNA from 1 species
GACGAACGCUGGCGGCGCGCUUAACACAUGCAAGUCGAACGGAAAGGCCCUGCUUUUGUGGGGUGCUCGAGUGGCGAACGGGUGAGUAACACGUGAGUAACCUGCCCUUGACUUUGGGAUAACUUCAGGAAACUGGGGCUAAUACAGGAUAGGAGCCCCUGCUGCAUGGUGGGGGUUGGAAAGUUUCGGCGGUUGGGGAUGGACUCGCGGCUUAUCAGCUUGUUGGUGGGGUAGUGGCUUACCAAGGCUUUGACGGGUAGCCGGCCUGAGAGGGUGACCGGCCACAUUGGGACUGAGAUACGGCCCAGACUCCUACGGGAGGCAGCAGUGGGGAAUAUUGCACAAUGGGCGGAAGCCUGAUGCAGCAACGCCGCGUGCGGGAUGACGGCCUUCGGGUUGUAAACCGCUUUCGCCUGUGACGAAGCGUGAGUGACGGUAAUGGGUAAAGAAGCACCGGCUAACUACGUG